GGGUUGGAAGCUGUGAGGCUAAAAUACGUCUGUCAGAGGUAAUGAAGAGUUCUCUAUGUAAACAUUUCUAUCUGACUGCUCUGCUCAGCCACCUGCACAGGUCCAGAAGUGUUCAGUGUUGCACACAAAGAAGUCAUCCUACCCGUGCAGUGGACUGAAGGAAAUUCUGUUAUAUUUCAUUAAACAUCACUCGGAGGAGCAAAAGCCUGGAUAACCCUGGAGGUUCAUUUCCUCCUUUGAUUUGGUAGUUAGGAGAGAGCUGGCUCAACAGAUCUGAGUCAGCGCAAGAGAACGGGCUGCUGUCUGGCAACCUGGAGCCAGGGCUCCUAUCUAUGGGGCGUUGGCCAUGGCGCAUGCAGCCCACCGCGGCUUGGCAUUAGCUACGGGAUAACAAGAUUUUGAUGGACUGUGUGUAUUCUGUUACUUCUCUGCUUACGAGUUUUUCCUUAA